CUGCGAUCUUCGUGCAAGGUGCUGCGGUAAUACUAAGGGGGCUGGUGUUGUUCUGAAUUACUGGGCGUAAAGUGGGCGUAGGCGAUUUGGCAAGUGGGAUGUGAAAGCCCUGGGCUUAACCCGGGAAUUGCAUUCAAGACUGCCUUAAUUGAAUUCGGUAGAGGUGAGUGGAAUUCCCAGUGUAGAGGUGAAAUUCGUAGAGAUUGGGAAGAACACCCGUGGCGAAGGCGGCUCACUGGACCGACAUUGACGCUGAGGCGCGAAAGCGUGGGGAGCAAACAGGAUUAGAUACCGAGUAGUC
rnacentral:rRNA from 1 species